GCCGGGCGUGGUGGCUCACGCCUGUAAUCCCAGCACUUUGGGAGGCCAAGGCGAGUGGAUCACCUGAGGUCAGGAGUUCGAGACCAGCCUGACCAACAUGGUGAAAACCCGUCUCUC
rnacentral:ncRNA from 3 species